AGUAAAUAGAUACCCAGGUAGUCCACGCCGUAAACGAUGUCGACUUGGAGGUUGUGCCCUUGAGGCGUGGCUUCCGGAGCUAAACGCGUUAAGUCGACCGCCUGGGGAGUACGGCCGCAAGGUUAAAACUCAAAUGAAUUGACGGGGGCCCGCACAAGCGGUGGAGCAUGUGGUUUAAUUCGAUGCAACGCGAAGAACCUUACCUACUCUUGACAUCCAGAGAACUUAGCAGAGAUGCUUUGGUGCCUUCGGGAACUCUGAGACAGGUGCUGCAUGGCUGUCGUCAGCUCGUGUUGUGAAAUGUUGGGUUAAGUCCCGCAACGAGCGCAACCCUUAUCCUUUGUUGCCAGCGGUUAGGCCGGGAACUCAAAGGAGACUGCCAGCGAUAAACUGGAGGAAGGUGGGGAUGACGUCAAGUCAUCAUGGCCCUUACGAGUAGGGCUACACACGUGCUACAAUGGCGCAUACAAAGAGAAGCGACCUCGCGAGAGCAAGCGGACCUCAUAAAGUGCGUCGUAGUCCGG
rnacentral:rRNA from 1 species